rnacentral:lncRNA from 1 species
CGCCGGGGGCCAUCAUCAUCGCCGCGAUCUACACCAACACCUCUGCCAUCUUCACCAACAUCUCCAUCACCUUCCCCCACCUAUAUUCAGCGGUCCACUCUCCCGCAACCCGCUAUACCCUCUACUUGAACAUGGUGCUUUAUGCUUCAUAUUAUUAUCCAAUGAUGUGUUGCCAUCCUAUGAUGUCUGAGUAGUUUUUUAUUGUCCUAUUGGUGAUUGAUGAAUUGCUAUGAUUGGUUUAAUUUGCAUGUGGUUAUGUUGCUGUCCUAUUGUGCCCUCCGUGUCGCGCAAGCGUGAGGGAUUCGUGCUGUAGGGUGUUGCAAUACGCUCAUGAUUCGCUUAUAGUGGGUUGCUUGAGUGAAAGAAGCAUAAAUCCGAGUAAGGGGAUUGUGGCGUAUGGGAUAAAGGGGACUUGAUACUUUAAUGCUAUGUUUGGGUUUUACCUUAAUGAUAUUUAGUAGUUGCGGAUGCUUGCUAGAGUUCCAAUCAUAAGUGCAUAUGAUCCAAGAAGAGAAAGUAUGUUAGCUUAUGUCUCUCCCACAUGAAACUUGCUAUCGGUCUAGUAAAGUAGUCAAUUGCUUAGGGACAAUUUCACAACUCCUAUCACCACUUUUCCACACUCGCUAUAUUUACUUUAUUGCUUCUUUAUCUAAACAGCCCCUAGUUUAUAUUUACGUGUUCUUUUUUAUCUUGCAAACAUAUCCAACAACACCUACAAAGUACUUCUAGUUGCAUACUUGUUCUAGGUAAGGCGAACACUAAGCGUGCGUAGAGUCGUAUCAAUGGCAGAUAGGACUUGAGAGAAUAUUUGGUCUACCUUUAGCUCCUCGUUGGGUUCGACACUCUUACUUAUCGACAGAGGCUACAAUUAUCCCCUGCACUUGUGGGUUAUCAACACCUUUUUCUGGCGCUGUUGCCGGGGAGUCAUAACGUGGGGUGAAUAUUCUCGUGUGUGCUUGUUUGCUUUAUCACUAAGUAAUUUUUAUUUGUUGUUCUUAGUUGUUUCUAUCUUUAGUUAUGGAUAUGGAACACGAAAUACCAAAAAAAAUAUGUAUACUUGCUACUCAUGGAGAUGGGGAACCUCCUAAAACCCUCGAUGCUCAUUAUGUGAAAGAUAUUAUGUACUACUUUGAUAAUCUUGAGAAAACCCCAUUCAAUUAUGUUAUGGGAGAUACAUUGGAUCAACGUGAAUACUUUAGGGAUUAUCGCUUGACACAAAAAUGGAAACUAUUAUGGGAUCAAAUUUAUAUGUUAUAUUGGUAUGCUAGGCAACUAUGCUUGAGAUAUGAUUAUACUUGUUGCUCUAGGAUGAAGGCUCCACACCUCCCCUUUUCAUGCAAAUUUAAUGAUGAUAAAACAUUGGCUUCUUAUGCUAAUGGUAUCUAUGAUUACUAUGAUGUGGAACAAAUAGAAUAAUUCGUUGCUUUUAUGGGUGCUUAUGAGAUUGAAUCUAUGUUUAAAGAGUCUGAAGAUUUUGAUGAUUCACUUUACAGACCUAAAUUUUUUGCUAUACUUAGAUAUUGCUAUGAAAAUUAUGAAUACAAUUCCAAUAUUGAUGCAUUUAUUGAGAAAGUCUCCGCUGUCCAAGAAGAGACUAAUAUUUUGCAGGAAGCUAUGGAAAAAAAAAUUGAUGAAACUGUGAGCUCAUUGGAUGAAAAAGAUUAUGAAGAGAGCGAAGAACAAAAGGAGGAAGAGCGGAUUAGCUACCCGUGCCCACCUUUUAAUGAGAGUAACUCUCACUACAACAAAACAGAUGUUAAGUAACACAAUGUCGUAACAAAUCACAAGAUGUCUUACAAGUAAAAAGGUAGUAACAUAUCAUUUGUGUUGCGAGCAUACUCAGACAGAUCUGAAAAGGUGUUACAAGUAUAGUACACCAGUAACAUAUAGGUUUAUGUUACUGUUGUGUUACGCUAUGUGAUUAUAGUAACUCAUAAUUGUAUGUAAGCUAGUGUUACAAAUUCUUAAGGAAAAAGCAUAGAAUUUGAUGAAGUGCAUUAGUAAAUCUUCAUCAUCAUAACACACAGCCCCGCUUGUCAGCAUUAAAUUAUUUAUUUAUAUUUUUUUGUGUAUUCAUCAACUCGGACCCAUAUAGGACCAACAUGACAGGUAAUAAUUCGAAGGGCAGAAAAAAUGCGGGCAAUAGGCACUACUAGGAAAAUGCCUACUAGUGGCGCACCAGUUUUGCCUACUAAUGACGCACUACUGGUGCGCCACUAGUACCACGCCACUAGUAUUAUAUACUAAUUGCGCAC